CGCGGUGCGGAGAGAGAGACUCGCGGCCUAUUCAGUAGUGUAAGGAACGCUCACCAGGCGACGACGUUAGCUGCUGAAGGCGAUCGGCCACACUGAACUGAGACCGUCAGAUCCUACGGAAGCAGCAGUGGGAUAUGCACAUGACGCAGCUGAUGCAGCGACGCGCGUGGGGAUGAGCUCGGGUGUAAACCCUUUCAGCAGGGAGAGCGAAAGUGACGGUACUGCAGAAGAAGCGCCGGCUACUACGUGCCAGCAGCCGCGGUAAUACGUAGGGCGCAGCGUUGUCCGGAAUUAUUGAGCGUAAAGAGCUCGUAGGCGGUUUGUCGCGUCUGCUGUGAAAGUCCGAGGCUCAACCUCGGAUCUGCAGUGGGUACGGGCAGACUAGAGUGUGGUAGGGGAGACUGGAAUUCCUGGUGUAGCGGUGGAAUGCGCAGAUAUCAGGAGGAACACCAAUGGCGAAGGCAGGUCUCUGGGCCACAACUGACGCUGAGGAGCGAAAGCAUGGGGAGCGAACAGGAUUAGAUACCCUGGUAGUCCAUGCCGUAAACGGUGGGCACUAGAUGUGGGGCUCUUUCCAUGAGUUCCGCGUCGCAGCUAACGCAUUAAGUGCCCCGCCUGGGGAGUACGGCCGCAAGGCUAAAACUCAAAGGAAUUGACGGGGGCCCGCACAAGCGGCGGAGCAUGCGGAUUAAUUCGAUGCAACGCGAAGAACCUUACCAAGGCUUGACAUAUACGGUCUAUCCCUAGAGAUAGGGAGUGCUUCGGCGCCGUAUACAGGUGGUGCAUGGUUGUCGUCAGCUCGUGUCGUGAGAUGUUGGGUUAAGUCCCGCAACGAGCGCAACCCUCGUUCUAUGUUGCCAGCGCGUAAUGGCGGGGACUCAUAGGAGACUGCCGGGGUCAACUCGGAGGAAGGUGGGGAUGACGUCAAAUCAUCAUGCCCCUUAUGUCUUGGGCUUCACACGUGCUACAAUGGCGGUGACAGUGGGCAGCAACCGGGCGACCGGUAGCUAAUCUCCAAAAACCGUCUCAGUUCGGAUUGUUCUCUGCAACUCGAGAGCAUGAAGGCGGAAUCGCUAGUAAUCGCGGAUCAGCAUGCCGCGGUGAAUACGUUCCCAGGCCUUGUACACACCGCCCGUCACACCAUGGGAGUUGGUUUCACCCGAAGGCAGUGCUCUAACCCGCAAGGGAGGAAGCUGACCACGGUGGAUCAGCAGUUGA
rnacentral:rRNA from 1 species